rnacentral:rRNA from 1 species
UACAGAGGUCCCAAGCGUUGUUCGGAUUCACUGGGCGUAAAGGGUGCGUAGGCGGUCGGGUAAGCCUGAUGUGAAAUCUCCAAGCUCAACUUGGAAAUGGCAUCGGAUACUAUUCGGCUCGAGGAAUGGAGGGGAGACUGGAAUACUUGGUGUAGCAGUGAAAUGCGUAGAUAUCAAGUGGAACACCAGUGGCGAAGGCGAGUCUCUGGACAUUUCCUGACGCUGAGGCACGAAAGCCAGGGGAGCAAACGGG